UAUUGUAAUUGAUCUCCAUUUAUAAACCAGUUAGCGCAAGGCUCUCACGAGCCAUUCCCCUAAGCCCGAAACAGGAGUCGUUUCGGGCUAUUUUUU
rfam:Photobacterium halotolerans strain MELD1 scaffold12, whole genome shotgun sequence.